CCGUCAAUUCCUUUGAGUUUCACCCUUGCGGGCGUACUCCCCAGGUGGAUAACUUAACGCUUUCGCUUGGACGCUUACGGUAUAUCGCAAACAUCGAGUUAUCAUCGUUUAGGGCGUGGACUACCAGGGUAUCUAAUCCUGUUCGAUCCCCACGCUUUCGUGCAUCAGCGUCAAUAACGGCUUAGACAGCUGCCUUCGCAAUCGGUGUUCUGAGACAUAUCUAUGCAUUUCACCGCUACUUGUCUCAUUCCGCCGUCUUCAACCGCAUUCAAGCACUUCAGUAUCAAGGGCACUGCGACAGUUGAGCUGCCGUCUUUCACCCCUGACUUAAAGUGCCGCCUACGCACCCUUUAAACCCAAUAAAUCCGGAUAACGCUCGGAUCCUCCGUAUUACCGCGGCUGCUGGCACGGAGUUAGCCGAUCCUUAUUCUCCGGGUACGUUCAGCCCACUACACGUAGUGGGGUUUAUUCCCCGGCAAAAGCAGUUUACAACCCAUAGGGCAGUCGUCCUGCACGCGGCAUGGCUGGUUCAGGGUUGCCCCCAUUGACCAAUAUUCCUUACUGCUGCCUCCCGUAGG
rnacentral:rRNA from 1 species